GUUAUUUUGGCAGAUUAGUGUAAUAGAUUUAGAAUCUUUAAAUGUAAUUAAGUUACAAAUAAUA
rnacentral:tRNA from 1 species